rnacentral:rRNA from 1 species
AGUGACGAUAGCCUAGGAGAUACACCUGUUCCCAUGCCGAACACAGUAGUUAAGCCCUAGAACGCCUGAUGUAGUUGGGGGUUGCCCCUGUUAGAUACGGUAGUCGCUUGGCU